rnacentral:rRNA from 1 species
UAGGUAGCGCCUCGUGAAUUCAUCUCCGGGGGUAGAGCACUGUUUCGGCAAGGGGGUCAUCCCGACUUACCAACCCGAUGCAAACUGCGAAUACCGGAGAAUGUUAUCACGGGAGACACACGGCGGGUGCUAACGUCCGUCGUGAAGAGGGAAACAACCCAGACCGCCAGCUAAGGUCCCAAAGUCAUGGUUAAGUGGGAAACGAUGUGGGAAGGCCCAGACAGCCAGGAUGUUGGCUUAGAAGCAGCCAUCAUUUAAAGAAAGCGUAAUAGCUCACUGGUCGAGUCGGCCUGCGCGGAAGAUGUAACGGGGCUAAACCAUGCACCGAAGCUGCGGCAGCGACACUAUGUGUUGUUGGGUAGGGGAGCGUUCUGUAAGCCUGUGAAGGUGUGCUGUGAGGCAUGCUGGAGGUAUCAGAAGUGCGAAUGCUGACAUAAGUAACGAUAAAGCGGGUGAAAAGCCCGCUCGCCGGAAGACCAAGGGUUCCUGUCCAACGUUAAUCGGGGCAGGGUGAGUCGACCCCUAAGGCGAGGCCGAAAGGCGUAGUCGAUGGGAAACAGGUUAAUAUUCCUGUACUUGGUGUUACUGCGAAGGGGGGACGGAGAAGGCUAUGUUGGCCGGGCGACGGUUGUCCCGGUUUAAGCGUGUAGGCUGGUUUUCCAGGCAAAUCCGGAAAAUCAAGGCUGAGGCG